rnacentral:rRNA from 1 species
AACGAACGCUGGCGGCAUGCCUAACACAUGCAAGUCGAACGAGACCUUCGGGUCUAGUGGCGCACGGGUGCGUAACGCGUGGGAACCUGCCCUUAGGUUCGGAAUAACUCCCCGAAAGGGGUGCUAAUACCGGAUAAUGUCUUCGGACCAAAGAUUUAUCGCCUUUGGAUGGGCCCGCGUUGGAUUAGCUAGUUGGUAGGGUAAAAGCCUACCAAGGCGACGAUCCAUAGCUGGUCUGAGAGGAUGAUCAGCCACACUGGGACUGAGACACGGCCCAGACUCCUACGGGUGGCAGCAGUGGGGAAUAUUGGACAAUGGGCGAAAGCCUGAUCCAGCAAUGCCGCGUGAGUGAUGAAGGCCUUAGGGUUGUAAAGCUCUUUUACCCGGGAUGAUAAUGACAGUACCGGGAGAAUAAGCUCCGGCUAACUCCGU